GCCUCUAUAGUUUAAUGGAUAAAAUUUCAGAUUCCGGUUCUGACGAUGAGGGUUCGAUUCCCCCUAGAGGUA
rnacentral:tRNA from 1 species